rnacentral:rRNA from 1 species
UCAGACGAUGCGUCAUGCAUAUCAAUAAGCGGAGGAAAAGAAACUAACAAGGAUUCCCCUAGUAACGGCGAGUGAAGCGGGAAGAGCUCAAAUUUGAAAUCUUAAAGGGUUUCCCUUUACGAAUUGUAGUUUAAAGAAGUGUUUUCUGUUGAGGUUUUGGUAAAAGUUCUUUGGAAUAGGACAUCAUAGAGGGUGAGAAUCCCGUAUUUGACCUUUACUUUCAACUUUGUGAUACACUUUCAAAGAGUCGGAUUGUUUGGGAAUGCAGUCCAAAAUGGGUGGUAAAUUUCAUCUAAAGCUAAAUAUUGGCGAGAGACCGAUAGCGAACAAGUACCGUGAGGGAAAGAUGAAAAGAACUCUGAAAAGAGAGUUAAACAGUACGUGAAAUUGUCAAAAGGGAAGCGUUUGACACCAGUGUUGUUUUUCUGAAAAUCAAUUAAAGAACUGUUUAUGCUAAGCUGUUUAGACUUUAUCAGCUAACUGUUUAGUUUUGAGCUUUUCUUUAAUGCACUUUUCAGUUAACAAGUCAACAUCAAUUUCUUUUGCUGUAAAAAAGCUUGAGGAAGGUGGCUUGAGAUUCGUCUUAAGUGUUUAUAGCCUCUUGCCUAUGCAGUCGGAGAGAUUGAGGUCUGCAGCGUAGAUCCUUCGGGGCUAAAUGCAUUUGUGCUAAGUUAUAGCAUUUUAUAGACAACUUGUUGACUAUGAUCUGUCUUGUAGCUUACUCGCUUAUGUUAUUUUACCUACGCUUAGGAUGUUGACACACGCGCGUGCUC